GCUACUCUACUUGAAAUACUGAGAAAUAAAUUCAAAAAAGAGAGAAAGACGAGGAAGGAAGCGUGCACCAGAGCAACAGCAACCGCUCAUGGAAAAGAGAAGAGAAUCUAUGCAAAGUGAGGAGUUCCCAGGAGAAGACGAGCAUAGUACUGUACACACUCGGGAAAGAAUGAUGGAGAAGAAGUCCACUGAAGAAGUCCUUGGUCUGUUUCCAUUCCUAAAGCAUCCUAAACUGGUAGGUACUAGUUUUUAUUCUACUAUGGUGAUUGAUCAGAAAUUUAUAUUUUUAGUUAUAAGCAUGUAUAAUCACUUUAAUUAGUCCUCCUAGGUGACCUUUCUGCAUCAGCAAUCCACCUGCUCCAGCUUUUACAAAACUCCACUGCUCCUGGUUUUUCCCAUGCAACUUCUUUCUGCUCGCAUUCAGUUUAGUUUGAUUUUGUUUUAUUUAUUGAUUUUUUUAACUACUACAUUAUUUGUAAGUAUUCAACUCUUUACAGCUGUGUAUAUCACCUUGGAUAAAGGCAUAUGAUAAAUAAAUAAAUAAAUAUAAUAAUAAUAACUUUAGCAUCUGUAUUUUAGCUGUUGCACGAAGUAGAACUACGUUUUGGAGUAAACUUGGAACGGAACCUAAUGAGUGGCUGUGGCAAAGUGCCCCGCCCCUGUGUGCAUUUGUGUGAUCUGUGUUGUAUGUUGCGUGCGUGUGUUAAUGUUGGUGUAUAGAUUGGUACACGGGAUAUAAACGGGUCUGUGUUUCACGUGUGUUUAAAAAGUGUAGAUUUGUAUUUAGGCACGAGGAGAGCACAAAUCACUUCACGUGCUGGUUAAAUGUAAUAUGUGAGCACGGGGUUGCACAGAAUUAAUUCACGUGCUGGGAUUCAAGUGAAUAAUUAAUUAGUAAUUGAAUCCCAGCACAACAGUAUAUAUAGAGACACGUAGCACUCAGUCGGGGGUUGGGUGUUCGGUGAGUGGAGAACGGGAGAGAGAAGGAGAAAUAAAGUAAAAGAACGUAACGUAAAAAUAGUGUUUUCACUCACCGUGUUUGUUUGUUUGUCUGUGCAUCCACCGUUUGUGUGUUAGUACGUUUUGUUUGUCCUUUUAUUUUGGCGUGUAGUGCCGUGUCCAGUGUUUUUGUCUGUUCCAACCUUUUAUUUUCUGUUCUGUUUAUUAAAUGCUGAACGCGAUCACGCGUUCAGCCUCACCAAAACCCCAUCUCUCUGUCGUUUGUGUUCCUGUUUCUGGUCUGACGCCACCCACUCCGGCCGUCUUUGUGACAGUGGCCUAUCCAGAAUGGUAGAUCCUAUUUUCAGACUUUCUAGUGGGCAUCUUCUAACUACUGUGAUGUCCUACAUUGAAGAUGCUUCAGAUAAGACACAGGAAAAUGGACUAAGAAUGAAUGCUGCAUUGUUGCUGUUGCCAGCUUUGUUUCGAGAGAGGGAAAAUCUGUUGUUUGUUGUUGACCAAGUACCGCCAGCACCUACGCCAACUAUCAUUUUCAAGGGAACAACAAGCCCAUUGGCAGCAGAUGACAUCUCUGUUUGUGUUGAUGGAAUUGAGAUACUCAGUGAUUAUCCAGGAAUGGAUAUCACCCUUGCUGUUGAAUGUAUUUUUUCUCUUUAUUUUUCCUUGGGCAUUGAGUAUCCUAAAGCUCUAAAAAAUGUUCUGACUUUCAUGGAAAGGUACUUCAUGAAGCUGAGUACCUCUGACAAAGUACCUUUGCCAGUGUUAAAGAUGUACAGUCAAAUAACUGCACUUUUACUUGGGGAAUAAUUAUAUUGAUCUGAUGGAAUGCCAUUUUAACAUUUAAAAUUAAUUUAUUGUGUCAACUAUUUAAUUUGAUUACAAAAACAGAAUGUUUGAUAUAAAAAUGUAAUUGUACAUAUCAAAAAAAGUAUUUAUUUUAAAUGUAAAUGGCUGAUUAGAAAAUUAAUUGUUUAUAACAAAUGUAAAUUGUUUUUAAUAGAAGUUUUGAUCUAAAAAAACUAAUAAACAUUCAGUCUUAAUUUAUAGAUAUCAUAAACUCAUAAUAAGCUCUGAUCUAAAUACUGUACUGUAGCUCUUCUAAUUUGUGCCACCAAAAAAUGAAUAAGAAAAAAGAAACCCAUGUUCAUCAGUUUCAAUAUACAUUUUAUCUCAGCUUUUUCAAGGUCUAUUACAUGUUCUUGAAAAUGUAUUUUGUGUAAGUUUCAGGAAAAUCUGUGGGAUGCAUAGAUUUAUUUUCCAGUUUGCUGCGAGACCCUUUUUUUCACUGUGUAAAUAAUAUGGUUUAAUUAUUAAAAACACACAGGUUGAAUAAAACUGUGUAAAACUGUAUAUAACUAAACCUGAAACUGAAACUACUCUAAUGGUUUAACCUGUAAAAACAAUAAAUUGUUAUAUAAAUGUUUAAUAAAUAAAUUGUUGGCAU